UAUGACCUACGGGAGGCAGCAGUGAGGAAUAUUGGUCAAUGGCCGGGAGGCUGAACCAGCCAAGUCGCGUGAGGGAAGACGGCCCUACGGGUUGUAAACCUCUUUUGUCAGGGAGCAAGAGGCGGGUCGAGACCUGCUGUGAGAGUACCUGAAGAAAAAGCAUCGGCUAACUCCGUGCCAGCAGCCGCGGUAAUACGGAGGAUGCGAGCGUUAUCCGGAUUUUUUGGGUUUAAAGGGU
rnacentral:rRNA from 1 species